rnacentral:rRNA from 1 species
GUAGUCAUAUGCUUGUCUCAAAGAUUAAGCCAUGCAUGUCUAAGUAUAAGCAAUUAUACAGCGAAACUGCGAAUGGCUCAUUAAAUCAGUUAUCGUUUAUUUGAUAGUACCUUACUACUUGGAUAACCGUGGUAAUUCUAGAGCUAAUACAUGCUAAAAACCCCGACUCACGAAGGGGUGUAUUUAUUAGAUUAAAAGCCAAUGCCCUUCGGGGCUCACUGGUGAUUCAUAAUAACUUGUCGAAUCGCAUGGCCUUGCGCCGGCGAUGGUUCAUUCAAAUUUCUGCCCUAUCAACUUUCGACGGCUGGGUCUUGGCCAGCCAUGGUGACAACGGGUAACGGAGGGUUAGGGCUCGACCCCGGAGAACGAGCCUGAGAAACGGCUAUUACAUCCAAGGAAGGCAGCAGGCGCGCAAAUUACCCAAUACCGACUCGGUGAGGUAGUGACGAUAAAUACUGAUACAGGGCUCUUUUGGGUCUUGUAAUUGGAAUGAGUACAGUUUAAAUCCCUUAACGAGGAACAAUUGGGGGGCAAGUCUGGUGCCAGCAGCC